GACGAACGCUGGCGGCGUGCUUAACACAUGCAAGUCGAACGAAGAGCGGCGGAAGCUUGCUUCUAUCAAUCUUAGUGGCGAACGGGUGAGUAACGCGUAAUCAACCUGCCCUUCAGAGGGGGACAACAGUUGGAAGCGACUGCUAAUACCGCAUACGAUCUAAUCUCGGCAUCGAGGAUGGAUGAAAGGUGGCCUCUACAUGUAAGCUAUCACUGAAGGAGGGGAUUGCGUCUGAUUAGCUAGUUGGAGGGGUAACGGCCCACCAAGGCGAUGAUCAGUAGCCGGUCUGAGAGGAUGAACGGCCACAUUGGGACUGAGACACGGCCCAGACUCCUACGGGAGGCAGCAGUGGGGAAUCUUCCGCAAUGGACGAAAGUCUGACGGAGCAACGCCGCGUGAGUGAUGACGGCCUUCGGGUUGUAAAGCUCUGUUAAUCGGGACGAAAGGCCUUCUUGCGAAUAGUGAGAAGGAUUGACGGUACCGGAAUAGAAAGCCACGGCUAACUACGUG
rnacentral:rRNA from 1 species